rnacentral:antisense_RNA from 1 species
UGAAAGGAUAAAAUGACUUUAUCAACUGUUCUUCAAAUGGUUUUAGCUUGAUAUGGGAGAAGUCUGCCCAUUUUUAUCGAUUAAGCUAAAUUGAAGACAGCAGGUAAAGAACCUUAAUCCUUUUUUACGAUAAUAUGUAAUG